UGACGUCACCAGAAUCGUUCCUGUUAUUUCCAAACUGCCAGGAGCCAUCGCAGAAAGGCUAAUGAAACACACUUAGAUGUUAAGUAAAAAGUAAUUAAAGUAUGUUGAAGAACUGGGGCAAUUGGCUCUGAGUAGAAAACAAAAAUGGCCAAGAAAGAGAGUCAACUGUUGAGGUUGAGGAAGACGAGAAUGAGGUAAACAAACAACGGGAGGAAGAUGCUCAUCAGUCGGCGAAAGGCUUCAGCGACCAUUUUGGGGGAAUUCCAGAACAACAAGAGAAGUUUGUUCAGGAGAAAAAAGCAAAAAUGUCUGUCAGCGGCUGAAGGAGGCGAGAGGCCGGCAGGCGAAGGCGAGGCCGGUGUUCAUGUGAGGCCGAUUUCCUCCAGGACGCUGCGAGGACACUCGGC